CUUAUAGUUUAACAUCCAUUAAUUUAAAAAUAUUUUAUCUCGAUUUUUAAUAAAGCUGUUUUGCUUAUUCCGUAACCUACUCAGAAGUACAAUGUCAACCGGAUCAUAUUGCCAUAAAAAUCCUAUCGUUAAAAUUAGGAGCAAUGGUGGACGUGGCACCUUCAAUACGAAUUAAAUACACAAAAUCGCGUAUGUAUUUGGGAAACUAAAGUCCUAAAAUUUUGCAUGAACAAUAAUUAUUCAUCUUUUGGAAUUACACAUACAUAUACAAUAUACGAUUGUAUACAAUAAAAAAGUUUAGGGAUCUAAGUUUGUUCCAAAAAUGUA